rnacentral:rRNA from 1 species
CGUCCAGACUCCUACGGGAGGCAGCAGUGAGGAAUAUUGGUCAAUGGACGCAAGUCUGAACCAGCCAUGCCGCGUGCAGGAUGACGGCUCUAUGAGUUGUAAACUGCUUUUGUACGAGGGUAAACCCCGAUACGUGUAUCGGGUUGAAAGUAUCGUACGAAUAAGGAUCGGCUAACUCCGUGCCAGCAGCCGCGGUAAUACGGAGGAUCCGAGCGUUAUCCGGAUUUAUUGGGUUUAAAGGGUGCGUAGGCGGUUUGAUAAGUUAGAGGUGAAAUGUCGGGGCUCAACCCCGUCGUGCCGUUGAAACUGGCGUUCUUGAGUGAGCGAGAAGUAUGCGGAAUGCGUGGUGCAGCGGUGAAAUGCAUAGAUAUCACGCAGAACUCCGAUUGCGAAGGCAGCAUGCCGGCUCCACACUGACGCUGAGGCACGAAAGCGUGGGUAUCGAACAGGAUUAGAUACCCGUGUAGU